rnacentral:rRNA from 1 species
GUCGAGGGGCAGCAUGAAAGUUUGCUUGCAAACUUUUGAUGGCGACCGGCGCACGGGUGAGUAACACGUAUCCAACCUGCCUCAUACUCGGGGAUAGCCUUUCGAAAGAAAGAUUAAUACCCGAUGUCAUAGUCCUACCGCAUGAUGGGAUUAUUAAAGAAUUUCGGUAUGGGAUGGGGAUGCGUUCCAUUAGUUAGUUGGCGGGGUAACGGCCCACCAAGACAACGAUGGAUAGGGGUUCUGAGAGGAAGGUCCCCCACAUUGGAACUGAGACACGGUCCAAACUCCUACGGGAGGCAGCAGUGAGGAAUAUUGGUCAAUGGACGAGAGUCUGAACCAGCCAAGUAGCGUGAAGGAUGACUGCCCUAUGGGUUGUAAACUUCUUUUAUAUGGGAAUAAAAUGUUCCACGUGUGGGAUUUUGUAUGUACCAUAUGAAUAAGGAUCGGCUAACUCCGUGCCAGCAGCCGCGGUAAUACGGAGGAUCCGAGCGUUAUCCGGAUUUAUUGGGUUUAAAGGGAGCGUAGGUGGAUUGUUAAGUCAGUUGUGAAAGUUUGCGGCUCAACCGUAAAAUUGCAGUUGAAACUGGCAGUCUUGAGUACAGUAGAGGUGGGCGGAAUUCGUGGUGUAGCGGUGAAAUGCUUAGAUAUCACGAAGAACUCCGAUUGCGAAGGCAGCUCACUGGACUGCAACUGACACUGAGGCUCGAAAGUGUGGGUAUCAAACAGGAUUAGAUACCCUGGUAGUCCACACAGUAAACGAUGAAUACUCGCUGUUUGCGAUAUACGGCAAGCGGCCAAGCGAA